rnacentral:rRNA from 1 species
AGCAGCCGCGGUAAUUCCAGCUCCAAUAGCGUAUAUUAAAGUUGUUGCAGUUAAAAAGCUCGUAGUUGAAUUUCGGGACCAAUCUGCCGGUCGUGCCUCCGGUAUGCACUGGUUUUAUUGGUUUCUCCCUUCUGACGAAUCAUGAUGUCAUUAAUUUGGUGUCAUGGGGAAUCAGGACUGUUACUUUGAAAAAAUUAGAGUGUUUAAAGCAGGCUCACGCUUGAAUACAUUAGCAUGGAAUAAUGAAAUAGGACGUUUGACCCUAUUUUGUUGGUUUCUAGGAUCGACGUAAUGAUUAAUAGGGAUAGUUGGGGGCAUUAGUAUUCAAUUGUCAGAGGUGAAAUUCUUGGAUUUAUUGAAGACUAACUACUGCGAAAGCAUUUGCCAAGGAUGUUUUCAUUAAUCAAGAACGAAAGUUAGGGGAUCGAAGACGAUCAGAUACCGUCGUAGUCUUAACCAUAAACUAUGCCGACUAGGGAUCGGAUGAUGUUAAUUUUUUUAGUGACUCAUUUCGGCGCCU